rnacentral:rRNA from 1 species
UGGGGAAUAUUGCACAAUGGGCGCAAGCCUGAUGCAGCCAUGCCGCGUGUAUGAAGAAGGCCUUCGGGUUGUAAAGUACUUUCAGCGAGGAGGAAGGCGUUGUGGUUAAUAACCGCAGCGAUUGACGUUACUCGCAGAAGAAGCACCGGCUAACUCCGUGCCAGCAGCCGCGGUAAUACGGAGGGUGCAAGCGUUAAUCGGAAUUACUGGGCGUAAAGCGCACGCAGGCGGGGUGUCAAGUCGGAUGUGAAAUCCCCGGGCUCAACCUGGGAACUGCAUCCGAAACUGGCAGGCUAGAGUCUUGUAGAGGGGGGUAGAAUUCCAGGUGUAGCGGUGAAAUGCGUAGAGAUCUGGAGGAAUACCGGUGGCGAAGGCGGCCCCCUGGACAAAGACUGACGCUCAGGUGCGAAAGCGUGGGGAGCAAACA